GUCUUCGUGGAGUAAUGCAACUCGCUCCCACCUGUUAUAUGGGUGCGCUGGCAGUUACGGGAGAGCCGGUGGUUCGAAUCCACCCGUAGACA